CUACGGGCCGCUGCAGUGGGGAAUUUUGCGCAAUGGGGGAAACCCUGACGCAGCAAUACCGCGUGAGUGAAGAAGGCCUUUGGGUCGUAAAGCUCUUUUCUUGGGGAAGAUAGUGACGGUACCCAAGGAAUAAGCACCGGCUAACUCCGUGCCAGCAGCGCGCGGGUAAUACGGAGGGUGCAAGCGUUGUUCGGAUUUACUGGGCGUAAAGGGCACGUAGGCGGCACAGCAAGUUAAGGGUGAAAUCCCGGGGCUCAACUCCGGAACUGCUCUUAAAACUGCUGAGCUAGAGAUAGUCAGAGGCGGGUGGAAUUCCAGGUGUAGAGGUGAAAUUCGUAGAUAUCUGGAGGAACACCGGUGGCGAAGGCGGCCCGCUGGGGCUAUUCUGACGCUAAGGUGCGAAAGCGUGGGGAGCAAACGGGAUUAGAUACCCGAGUAGUC
rnacentral:rRNA from 1 species